GGCCCGCGCUGCGUGUUCACUGUCUGUCUUAAUCUCUGAUUGGGUAUUAAGGCACGCGGUGAAUGCCAAGAGUGGGCUU
rnacentral:pre_miRNA from 1 species